rnacentral:lncRNA from 1 species
UAGAAGUUAGAAGUUAGAUUAGUUGCAUUUUCCAACUUUGAAAUUCUUGAAUUUUGUAUGUUUGACGGUUGAAGUUAGAAAAACAUUGAAUUGUAUAUGAAAGUUAGAUUACUUUGAAGUUAGAAAAAUAUUAGUAUAUGAAAGUCGAAAUUAGAUUAGUUGAAUUUUCAACUUAGAAGUUCUUGAUUUUUUUUUUUUUGAAAGUUGAAGUUAGAAAAAUAUUAG